rnacentral:rRNA from 1 species
GUGGGGAAUCUUCCGCAAUGGACGAAAGUCUGACGGAGCGACGCCGCGUGAGUGAUGAAGGCCUUUGGGUCGUAAAGCUCUGUCAUCGGGGACGAACGGCCUCAGCAGGUAAUGGCUGGGGAUUGACGGUACCCGAGAAGGAAGCCACGGCUAACUACGUGCCAGCAGCCGCGGUAAUACGUAGGUGGCAAGCGUUGUCCGGAAUUAUUGGGCGUAAAGCGCGCGCAGGUGGGAUCUUAAGUCCAUUUUGAAAGUUCGGAGCUCAACUCCGUGAUGGGAUGGAAACUGGGAUUCUUGAGUACCGGAGAGGAAAGCGGAAUUCCCCGUGUAGCGGUGAAAUGCGUAGAUAUGGGGAGGAACACCAGUGGCGAAGGCGGCUUUCUGGACGGUGUCUGACACUGAGGCGCGAAAGCCAGGGGAGCGAACGGGAUUAGAAACCCUGGUAGUCC